rnacentral:rRNA from 1 species
UACGUAGGGGGCAAGCGUUGUCCGGAAUCAUUGGGCGUAAAGAGCGCGUAGGCGGUCCGGUAAGUCCGCUCUGAAAGUCCGGGGCUCAACCCCGGGAGGCGGGCGGAUACUGUCGGGCUAGAGUCCGGAAGAGGCGAGUGGAAUUCCUGGUGUAGCGGUGAAAUGCGCAGAUAUCAGGAGGAACACCGAUGGCGAAGGCAGCUCGCUGGGACGGUACUGACGCUGAGGCGCGAAAGCGUGGGGAGCAAACGGG